rnacentral:rRNA from 1 species
CCUACGGGCGGCUGCAGUGGGGAAUAUUGGGCAAUGGGCGCAAGCCUGACCCAGCAACGCCGCGUGAAGGAAGAAGGCUUUCGGGUUGUAAACUUCUUUUCUCAGGGACGAAGCAAGUGACGGUACCUGCGGAAUAAGCCACGGCUAACUACGUGCCAGCAGCCGCGGUAAUACGUAGGGGGCAAGCGUUAUCCGGAUUUACUGGGUGUAAAGGGCGUGUAGGCGGGAAAGCAAGUCAGAUGUGAAAACCAUGGGCUCAAACUGUGGCCUGCAUUUGAAACUGUUUUUCUUGAGUACUGGAGAGGCAGACGGAAUUCCUAGUGUAGCGGUGAAAUGCGUAGAUAUUAGGAGGAACACCAGUUGCGAAGGCGGUCUGCUGGACAGCAACUGACGCUGAGGCGCGAAAGCGUGGGGAGCAAACAGGAUUAGAUACCCUUGUAGUC